CAAGAACCCAAGGGAGGCAAUUAGGAGAGCUGGGGAAGGAGGGAAUAAUUUUACCUGUCAGACAAACCCUUGACCCUAUUUCAGUGCUUCCUUGAGGCACAUCUAUGUUCCUGGCUGUGGAAGGAGCCAGUGGGGACAGGACCUUGGACAUAAACGAGAUUUCAAGCAGCCUGAACCAUCUGAGGUCCCUCCCUGAUUGUUUUUAGGACAAACCCCUACUGCAGGCACUGGAAGGAAUUUCAAAUAAGUGGCCAAACAUCUCAGGAGCUUGGUUCUGGUGCCCUGGAUCAACCAGCAGUGAUGGAUGGAAAAUAGAGGUGUUUGUAGGAAGUCUUCUGACUUGAAACAAAACCUCAAACCACUCCAAAAUAACGUAUCAAGUUCUCUCCAUGCCUUCUGGUGGACCUUAUGGGUUUUCAUAUGCUAGUGAUGUAUAAAAGUGAAAAUGGUCACUGCAGAGUUUGGAAGGCCUGGAGAGCCAUGGGUAGAGCCACGAGGCUGGGUUGGUAGGAAGAAGGUUGGCUCACUGUGAUAUGACACAUCCCACCCUGACCAGGGUGACUGAGAAGCACCUGAAGCUUUGUUUUGUCACCCUCAAAUGUGUCCCAGUGCAAACUGGCCCUUUAACAGGAGCCCACUGGUAUGUGUGUGGAGGGGAGCAGAGACAGAAAGGAAGUAAUAUUGAGUCACAGCAGUCAAGAAGGAUCAAAGAUUGGCUAUUUUUGACACACAAAAGAGACGGAGGCUCCAGGCGGUCCCGUUCGUGUCGUGCCAGGGGAGUGCCAGAGCAUCCAUUUCACCAGUUCAAGCAGCAGAGAAGCUGUGACACAUCUUAAUUCUACUGGGAAAAAUCAGCUCGUGAAGGUGUUGGCUUCCCUUCUGCUGCCAUGAUUGCUUUUAUUCCCAGAGCAAAGUCAUCCAAGUAGAAGAAGAGAAGCCUCAAAGCUUAAAGUGGAGCUGCUGAGAUAUUUGCUCUAUGUUUUGGGCUUUUUACAAAGCAGUCUGGAUCAAGGCUGGAAAUUGUGAUUGUUGUGUAAAAGCCUGAGAUCUCAGGGCAACGCUGGUUUCUGGGCAUGUACUUGGGAGUGAGAAAUGAUAAGACUGUGCUUGCUGAACUUGAACCUCUUUUCAUUGGCAACAGAAAAUUUUGUCAGGUUGUUCCUCUCCACCUCAUGUGAAGACCAUCUACCUAUUUAAUCACUCAAUAAAUAAACUUGCUCCCCAUCUCUGCUUGCCUGGG